rnacentral:tRNA from 1 species
GUGAUUUUAGUUUAUUAUAAAACGCUUGCUUUGCACGCAUGAGAUCUAGGAAUUUCCUGGAAACCACA